CCAGACCUGUCCCUUGCAUCCAUGCCACUCAGAGUCUUGCCGAGCUCUCCUCAGCCAUUUGCAGAAGACAGAACAGACAUAGAAUGCGCCAGUCUCGGCUGGUUUCUGUCCUUGUCCGUUUGCACUGGGAAGACACCAGGUCCCUCACAGUUCAGGGCAAUGACUAAGUGGGAGGUGGCCUGUCCCUUGGUCUGAAAGCACUGAAGAAACAUUCAGAAGAGGGGUGACAGUUCAGAUACGACUUAGGCAAGCACGUGAGCGAGCCUCUGCUGAGUGCUGUGUAGCCUGGAGAGGUCAGAGUCUCCAUCUUCCAUCUGGUUGCAUGGACCGUUCUCCCAAGUGCUGUUGGCCAGUUCUCUCCUUGGGCGCUUUCUCAGAAGCCAGAUACCAGCAGGCACCAAAGCCUUGUGAUGUUCAGGACGUGCGUUUUAUGGCUGUAUCCUCAAAAUGCCUUUGUAAAUGAUUCUUCAGUCCCAUUUUAAAAACGAGAACAGCAAGGCUUCGGAAGAAGAGGUUGGAGGAUGAUGCCCAAGGUGCUUUCGGGUCGACUCACCAGGAUUUGAGGCCCGGGAGCGAGGCAGUGGGUGCCCAUCGGCCACCUCCGCAGCUGUAGGCAGGGGCUUUCCUGGCUGCCGUGAGAGUUGGGCUGUAUUCCCCGUCCAUGAUGCCAAUGCUACCCUCCCCUUAUAUCCGGCAAGUAAAUGGCACCAAACCGGACACAGCUGCUCACACUGCCGUCCCAGCACUUGGGAGAUCGAGGCAAGAAGUUCCAGGCUAGCCUGCCCUUUGCCGUCCAUGCGUCUCACGCACGUGGAGGAGAAUCUCAACUAUGAGGCUGCAGAGUCCAGAUACGUGGCUCAUCCUUACUGCACUACCUAAACCGGCCUGGUUCACACGUUAAUGUACCUGUGUGUCCUGUGCUGUCUCAGUGUCCAUUCUGAUUCCACGAACUUGUGUGGGCAGAGAAGAUGUCUGCCUUUCCACCAACCUCCAGGGUAAGGUAGGGGCCACUGCUCCUCAGACAACUCUUUGAGCCCCAAGGCCGGAGGAGGAUAGCGGUUGUGGUAAAGUUCUGCUAAGGAGGUGGGACCUUGCAGAACUCCGCCCAGAAUAUUGGAAUUAUCCACACAGAUCUCCUAAAAGUUGGGAACCCAAUCCCAGCUUUCUCUCUAACCACAUCUUAAGUCCUGUCAGAUGGAUGGAUCGCACCUGUUUCUCCAAGUUUCUGAUAAAGUGCUUGCUUAAGUCUACUUUGGUUUAACCAGCAGAUGUUUGGUUUCACCAGCAGAUGUUGGUAUGCCCAACUCUGGUCUUUCCUGGUCUUCAAGUCUGUUACCCACAGCUAAGGUGAGGGGGCCUUAUCUUCACUAAAACCUCGGACUUCACAUCCCGCCUACCACUUUCUCUUUUUCUCAUCUUGGAAAAGUCUUCAAGUCUACAAAGCAUCUUUUUCUCCUCCACCCUCUGGCCGCAGUUAGCAAUUGUCUACACGGUGCAUAAGGUGCCAUGUGAUCUGGUUGUCAGAAAGUGGUGUGACCUGAACGCACACACAUGCACACUCACACACCCGCCAGCAUGAGAAGAUACUUUGCUCCAAGAAUGGAUAACCUUAAACAUUAAUAAGUAGAAAAUCUGUGAAACCAAAGCAUUUUUUCCUCUUUUUGUAUAAUAGCCUUUCAUUCUUUUUAUGAUUUUGUCUUUGAAAGCUCUUUCUGCAGAUGACAGAUGAUAUUGUUCUUCCAUCCUGCUGCAGACAGAAAUAAGGGAGGCAGGGGAAACUAUUGUAGAACCUCCAUUCUGCAGCACGAUUUUUAUAAUUAAUAUAUACAACUGAGCAAAGAAAGGUACGUUAUAAUGAAAUGCAAUUAAGAGGUGUUUGUUCUUUCCCCACACAUGAUGACUAUAAUUUCCUUAGCUGUUUAGAAGUCAACCAUUAUCAUUACAUUUUGCACAUAUCUUUUCUUAUUUUUUUGCCCCCGAAUUUGUUUAUUUUCAAUAAAAAACAAACAAACCUA